rnacentral:rRNA from 1 species
GGUUGAUCCCGCCGGACCUGACUGCUAUCGGAUUGGUACUAAGCCAUGCGAGUCAUUGUAGCAAUACAAGGCGGACGGCUCAGUAACACGUAGUCAAUCUAACCUAUGGACGUGGAUAACCUCGGGAAACUGAGAAUAAACCACGAUAGAUCAUGAUGCCUGGAAUGGCUUAUGGUUCAAACAAUUUAUUGCCAUAGGAUGGGACUGCGGCCUAUCAGCUUGUUGGUGAGGUAAUGGCCCACCAAGGCUAUAACAGGUACGGGCUCUGAGAGGAGAAGCCCGGAGAUGGGUACUGAGACACGGACCCAGGCCCUAUGGGGCGCAGCAGGCGAGAAACCUUAGCAAUGUGCGAAAGCACGACUAGGUUAAUCCGAGUGGUUCCUGCUAAAGGAACCUUUUGUCAGUCGUAAAACCACAGACGAAUAAGGGGUGGGCAAGUCUGGUGUCAGCCGCCGCGGUAAUACCAGCACCUCGAGUGGUCAGGAGGUUUAUUGGGCCUAAAGCAUCCGUAGCCGGCUAUGCAAGUCUCCGGUUAAAUCCAACUGCUCAACAGAUGGGCUGCCGGAGAUACUACAUAGCUAGGGAGCGGGAGAGGCAGACGGUAUUCGGUGGGUAGGGGUAAAAUCCACUGAUCCAUCGAGGACCACCAGUGGCGAAAGCGGUCUGCCAGAACGCGUUCGACGGUGAGGGAUGAAAGCUGGGGGAGCAAACCGGAUUAGAUACCCGGGUAGUCCCAGCUGUAAACGAUGCAAACUCGGUGAUGCGUUGGCUUAUGGGCCACGCAGUGCCGCAGNNAGCCGUUAAGUUUGCCGCCUGGGAGUACGACGCAGUCUGAAACUUAA